rnacentral:rRNA from 1 species
UACAGAGGUCUCAAGCGUUGUUCGGAUUCAUUGGGCGUAAAGGGUGCGUAGGCGGCUCGGAAAGUCGGGCGUGAAAUGCCGGGGCUCAACCCCGGGACUGCGUCCGAUACUUCCGAGCUGGAGGUAGGUAGGGGAGAUCGGAAUUCCUGGUGUAGCGGUGAAAUGCGCAGAUACCAGGAAGAACACCAAUGGCGAAGGCAGCUCUCUGGGACGGUACUGACGCUGAGACGCGAAAGCGUGGGGAGCGAACAGG